GACGAACGCUGGCGGCGUGCUUAACACAUGCAAGUCGAACGAAGUGGCGAACGGGUGAGUAAUACGUGGGUAACCUGCCCUCCUUUUUGGGAUAAGCCUUGGAAACGGGGUCUAAUACCGAAUAAAGGGGGAUGGGCUCGCGGCCUAUCAGCUUGUUGGUGGGGUGAUGGUCUACCAAGGGGGUGACGGGUGGCAGGCCUGAGAGGGUGACCAGCCACAUGGGGACUGAGAUACGGCCCAGAGUGCUACGGGAGGCAGCAGUGGGGGGUAUUGCACAAUGGGCGAAAGACUGAUGCAGCGACGCCGCGUGGGGGAUUAAGGCUUUCGGGUUGGAAACCUCUUUCGCUAUCGAAGGGGUAGGUGGAGAAAAAGCGCCGGCUAACUACGUGCCAGCAGCCGCGGUAAUUC
rnacentral:rRNA from 1 species